AACUUGAGAUGAAUUUAAUAGGUUGCGCUAUUUUUCUCUUUGUUUAGAGGGUUGCCACCUCUUAUUUUUGGUGUUGCAUUUCAACAUCCUAUGUACUCGGUAUUGUUUUACAUACCUUUUUUUGUCAGGAAAAAACAAUGACUGAGUUUAGACCAAUCAGUUGCCUUUUUAUGUGAUGGUAUUUCAUUGUAAGAGUUUAAGGACCUUGUCGAUGAGUUUAUUCACUUGUUUCAAAA
rnacentral:misc_RNA from 1 species